AUUGAACGCUAGCGGCAGGCCUUACACAUGCAAGUCGAACGAGUGGCGGACGGGUGAGUAAUGUCUGGGAACGUGCCCGAUGGCGGGGGAUAACUACUGGCAACAGUAGCUAAUACCGCAUACUCUCGGUGGUGCCCAUAUGGGAUUAGCUAGUAGGUGGGGUAAAGGCUCACCAAGGCAACGAUCCCUAGCGGGUCUGAGAGGAUGACCAGCCACACUGGAACUGAGACACGGCCCAGACUCCUACGGGAGGCAGCAGUGGGGAAUAUUGGACAAUGGGCGCAAGCCGGAUGCAGCCAGGCCGCGUGUAUGAAGAAGGCCUUCGGGUUGUAAAGUACUUUCAGCAGAGAGGCGUUAUUGGCAGAAGAAGCACCGGCUAACUCCGUGCCAGCAGCCGCGGUAAUAC
rnacentral:rRNA from 1 species